rnacentral:rRNA from 1 species
UGGGGAAUAUUGCACAAUGGGCGGAAGCCUGAUGCAGCGACGCCGCGUGUAGGAUGACGGCCUUCGGGUUGUAAACUACUUUCGGUAGGGACGAAGCGUGAGUGACGGUACCUACAGAAGAAGCACCGGCCAACUACGUGCCAGCAGCCGCGGUAAUACGUAGGGUGCGAGCGUUGUCCGGAAUUACUGGGCGUAAAGAGCUCGUAGGCGGUUUGUCGCGUCGUCUGUGAAAUUCUACGGCUUAACCGUGGGCGUGCAGGCGAUACGGGCAGACUUGAGUACUAUAGGGGAGACUGGAAUUCCUGGUGUAGCGGUGGAAUGCGCAGAUAUCAGGAGGAACACCGAUGGCGAAGGCAGGUCUCUGGGUAGUAACUGACGCUGAGGAGCGAAAGCAUGGGUAGCGAACA